rnacentral:lncRNA from 1 species
GUUGAAUACAAUCAUACCUUUGGCUUGGCAAAGGUUGGUUCCCGAAUAAUGCGAUUGCAAAUACAGGGAUCCGUGAAUAGUAAGGGAAUAUUGUUCACUAUUUAUAGGCACGGGACACAGCCUGUGAGAAAUUACAAUUAUGCCCCUCAUAAAGGAUUACAACAGCGACCUAAGCAUUUAUGGACUAGAGGGUCAUUCUACUUUUAAGUCGGUUUGUAAUUCCGAAGCUUCCUGAAGAGGAACCUUUGGUCAUCUCAUACGAACAGCUUCAGCCGAAAACUGCUUCUUCCUACAAGACCUUCGGCGACGAAGCAUAGUCCCAACACUUAACAUGCAACAAAAAGAAAAAUCAAAUGAAUUAAUAGGAGCUAUUCAUGACAAGGAUGAACUUUUGGAUAGCCAAAAG